rnacentral:rRNA from 1 species
GACGUAGGGCGCGAGCGUUGUCCGGAUUUAUUGGGCGUAAAGAGCUCGUAGGCGGCUGUUCAAGUCGAACGUGAAAACUCGGGGCUCAACUCCGAGCCUGCGUUCGAUACUGGAUGGCUAGAGUCUGGUAGGGGGAUCUGGAAUUCCUGGUGUAGCGGUGAAAUGCGUAGAUAUCGUAAGGAAGACCAGUGGCGAAGGCGGGUCUCUGGACAGUUCCUGACGCUGAGGCACGAAGGUCAGGGGAGCAAACGGG